UACGUAGGGCGCAAGCGUUGUCCGGAAUUAUUGGGCGUAAAGAGCUCGUAGGCGGCUUGUCGCGUCGGAUGUGAAAGCCCGGGGCUUAACUCCGGGUCUGCAUUCGAUACGGGCAGGCUAGAGUUCGGUAGGGGAGAUCGGAAUUCCUGGUGUAGCGGUGAAAUGCGCAGAUAUCAGGAGGAACACCGGUGGCGAAGGCGGUUCUCUGGGAAUAUCCUGACGCUGAGGAGCGAAAGUGUGGGGAGCGAACAGG
rnacentral:rRNA from 1 species